CCCCCCCCCCCCCCGGGGUCGGCGCGGCUGAUCGCAGCCCGCCCGGGCUCUGGGCACCCGCAGCGAGCCGAGCAGCCCAGGGCCCGGCAUCAGCUCCGUGCUGGAGGCAACGGCAGGCGCGCCGCGGGGCAGGGCAGGGCAUGGCAUGGCGGGGGCAUCACAACCCUGUCGCCUCCGCCCAGAGGGCACGUGCAGCCGCGCGCCUGGCCGUGCCCGCGGUGCUGCUCGCGGCCGGGGGGCAGGGACCGGCGCGGCUCGGCUCGGCUCGGCUCUGCUCCUCCGCCGCUGCUGCAUGAGGCCAGCACGUGCCUCCGGGCUACGCCCCUUGGUGGCGAUUCCUGCUAAGAUUUGAAGGUCCAAGAAAAGUGUCAGAAACAACAUCAGGACCUGUAUAUGGCCUGCAUUAACUUUACUAAUACCUUUGACUCCAUCAAUUGUGAAGCCAUGUGGAAAGUACUGGCCAGAUUUGGAUGUCCUGAAAAGUACAUUAUGGUCCUGAGGCUUCUCCAUGACCAGAUGACUGUGACCAUUCUAUGUAGCAGAUCAGGGACAGGUCCAUCUGUCAUUCAAACUGGGGUCAAGCAAGAAUGCAUCAUUGCCCCAGUUGUGUUCUCAUUUUUUUGACAGUCAUCCUGGUUCUCAUUAAGGACCACCUUCCUUCUGGAAUUGACAUUGAACAGAUGAAGGGCUCUUCAAUCUAGGACAUUUUUGCUCAAAGACCAAAGUACUCAAAAUAACCAUCUUUGACCUUCAAUAUGAUGAUGACUAUGCCAUCCUUGUGGUCACUGAGGAAAACCUCCAGACUGCAUUGGAUCUUUUCAAAGAAGCCUACUGAAAUUUGGGUCUCUCUCAACAUCUAGAAGACUAAAGUGCUCUAUUAGCAGGCCCCGGACCAUGAAUAUGAAACUUCUUGCCCAAAUUACCAUCAAGGGAAAGUCCCUGGAGAUAAUUGAGCGCUUCCCCAACAUCAGUAGCCACCUCUCUCAGAGAGUGAACAUUGAUGAAGAGAUCCAGCACAGGAUCCAGUGCGCAAGUGCCUCCUUCAGGAAAUUGCUUUGGUGUAUCUUUAUUCAUCACAAUUUCUGAAAUGAUACCAAGUUCCAGGUCUACGAUGCAGUCAUCAUCCCCAUCCUUCUCUAUGGAUGGGAAAUGUGGAUGACCUACUGCCAUCAUCUCAAGAGCCUGGAGAGGCAUCAUCAAUGCUGUCUCGUGCAGCAAUCUUCCCAUUUGAUGUGGAAGAUUUUCCAAAGUGCCAGCAUCUUUGCUGAAACCAAUGCUACCAGCAUUGAGUCGGUGAUCACCAAGCACCAACUUCAUUGGACUGGACAUUGUGCACAAAUGCCUGACUCAGCUCCCAAAACAAGUCCUCUACUCCCAACUUAUUAAUGCCUUGAGAUCUCAUGGUGGCUAGAGGGAAUAUUACAAAGACACAUUGUUGGCAUACCUCAAGAAAACAGAUACCAACAUAAAGAGUUGGGAGGAGUGGCUGCCAAACAAUUGUAAUGGUGCUGCAACCUCAACCACGCAGCAGCCUGUUUCAAGCUAAAGCAUCUGGCCUCCAAAGCAAAAAAGAGAGUGUGGAGGAAAGAAAGGAGAGGAAUCCCAGCUUGCAGUCUACUCUCCCCUGCAGGAAGGCUUGCAACUUCUGCGAAUAGAUCUGUGGCUCAAGGAUUGGCUUUUUAAGUCACCUUAAGACCCAUCAAUGAUCCAUGGUAGAGAUCAUCCUUGAAUUGCAGGAUUGCUGAUGACAGCGAUAACUAUGACAACAAUAGCUGCUAUUGCUGAUGACAACAAUAGCAAUAGCUGUAACCACCAAACUGGUUACCUGAUUAAUUGCAUCUCAGGGAUAGCAAGCUUCUAAAUGGACACAUGCUUCUCCAUGCUGAAGAAGAAUCUCAUUUUGGUGUUCUGCCACUACUGCUGUGAGAUGAGUGCUGUACAGAAUUUAAGUAAAGUAGCUGUCUACCUCCUCCAUGGCCAUAGCCACUGAUGAUUAUCCCAAUUCUGUAUCUAGAUCCUGCUCCAUAUGUCAGUGCUACAUGACAAAGUCCAGAAGCAAUAUUAAACUUCUCUAGGAAAAUGAUGUGCAAAAUGUAUUGCUCUAUAUUGUUCUCCUACAAUAGGUGUAUCCACUGCUAUGCUAUCGCUUAUGUCCAAAUGCAUUCAAAGACUAAUAUCUCUAUGAUUAUCAAUGGAUCUGAAUGAAGCAGUUCAGGUUAAUGAUCAUCAGGAUUGUGGCAUUCAAGAUGCCUCAAUAUGUUUCUUCUAUGAUGUCUGACAAAAUAGUGCUGGAUCACUAACACCAGAGGAGUAAAGGGAUACUCUAAAAAAGAAUCAUGUGUUUGUUAGGUCCUAGCAGUCCAGUAUAUUCUGACAGGCAUUUCACAAUGCAUAGUAAGAAAAGUCCCAAGAUGGAAAGGGUCUAGUGGUGGAACAUUGCACCAUUCACUGUUUGCCCAGAUGUUAUACAGUUAUUUUGAAAGGAUGCCAAGCUGGAUGAACAUAGUUUUCAUGAAAGUAGCCUAAGAUGAUAUAAACACAGUAGUGUGGAUGGACUCUUUCAGUAUACUGGUGUAGUUGUAUCAGGAAAACAGUUACUAAAAAAUCUUUCCUAUAGGAAGUAGGACUUUGACUUUGCUCAUAUGAAGAACAUAUGUUGUCCUCUUUCUCUUUCAUUAUUUUUCCCAAACAAGAUUCUUUCUUCCACGUGAAUCUGAAGAUUUAUGAACAACAUUGCCACUGAUUUAUAGAGAAUGUUUGAGAAUGUUGGAGAUCUGUAGGUUAGUUAAUUUCUUGUGACACAAUUCUUCUUUGACCAUGAAAAAUGUCCAUAGAGCAUGGUAGAUGUCCAUGAAGCAUGGUAGAUUUGAGAUCCAGGGCUUUUUCCACUCUCUACCUCCACCUACAUUUAGCUUUCUUUAUAAUUUACUCCCAAUUGAUCUAUUGGGAAUACCUAAUCUGAUUUGGAUGAAGUCCAUUCUUUGACAGUAUAGCAUGCCAUAAAAUAGCAGAAGAAAUCCAUUUCCUGUAUUGCUGAUAAAGCUGAUUCAGCUUAGACUUGUGCUUGUAUUUAUUUGCUGAUUUCUUUGAUAAAACAGCAGAGCUUAAAGCCUUGCAGGAAGAUGGAUGCAUGUUGAGUUAGAAUAACACUGAAGAGUAUCUGGGCUCCUGGUACUUUGAACUCUGCUUGUUCCUCAUUACUAGAAAGUUCUGACAGAUGUGGAAGUAAUAAUUUCUCCAGUAAUUAUUAAGAAAAAAAAAAGAAAGCAGCCAUCAAUUUAAUCUAUAACUUUGAACGAGAUCUCCCUGUAUGUCUCAAGAGGUCCUGAUAAAGACAUCAGGUUAGUAGUGAUUGGAGGGAAAAUGCCAAUGGCUUUUUUAACCCUUUUGCACAUGUGACAGGCUAGCUGGCAGUGACCUAGCCCAGGGGUUUUGAAAGGGCAAAAGAUGAUUGGAGGACUUGGGAUUCCCUUUCCUCACCAAUCAGGCCCCAGAGACUCACCUCUCAUGUCCCCUGAUUGGCCCCUUGGGUCACCUGGAGGGGGAUAAAAGGGGCAGCACCGCUGACUCAGGGAGGAGACCAGCGAGGGGCCUUGAGGAAGGAGCUUGAAAGAGAUGGCAAGAGCUGAGCCACCGGGGUGGAAGCAGUUGCCCCAGAAGAGCCUGAAGGAGCAGGACCUGCAGGCAGCAGCUGGACCCUCAGCAGCACAGUGUGUGGCUGACAGGAGAGGCUUCCUGCUGGGAUCCAGGAUCCCCUAUGAGAGGCUGUGGCCAGCAGGAGAGGCUUCCCAUUUCAGCAAGGAUCUGAGCAACGACCUGAGGGCCAGCAACCAGCUCGGCUUCCAGCUCCUCCAAUCAGAGACCAGGCAGUUUGACAUGAGGCCGGGGCUCCAGGAAGGUCAAGUCCCCUAGCAGCUUGGAGCAGUACCCACACUGGUGGUUGUGUGGCAGCAUUUCUGCCUGCCAGGUGGGAGAUCUAAGUUUAAGUCCCAGUUUUGGUGACUUGGGGUGAGCGAGCUAACAAGGAGAAAUUCUUCUUGCAGUGAAAAGGGGCCAUUGUGUUUUCUCCCCUUCCAGGUACCUAGGCCCUAUAUUUCUUUGUCCUUUGACAUUUUGUAUUUUGUACCUUUUUAUAUUUCCCCAACUAGUAUUGUUUGCUCUGCUGUUUGUGUUUUAUAUUUUGUUAAUCCUGUCUUUUGUCAAUGUCUGUAAGUGUCUAACCUUUGUUGAAUCCUGCCCCCUUGGGGCAUUGUAGUGUCCACUAUAUCCCCUGAUUAUGCCUGUUAUGUUCCCAGUCUUGUUCCCUCAUUAAAAGGUAUAUGGUUAAGUCCC